UCGGCCUCAAGGGUAAUGGAAGCGAAGAGGGGAAGGACAAGGAGAACAUAACCCCUUACGAUGCAAAGUACAAAUUCUGCGGCAACCAUUAUUUUCAGGUUCACCUGAUUAUAGUUCGGACAACAUAUGCCAAACGAAAAUCUUCCGACGGAAACCUUAAAAGUCUUGUCUGAAGAUGGUACAAGCCUACAACUUCUUGAUUCCAACAUACGCAAGCAAGACUGUAGG